UUGAGAGAUGUUGUAAAAUAAAUUACAUCUUUUUACAGAUACCACCAUAGAUAAUACCGUAUGAUUGCCGACUCAUGAAUUCUCGACGUUAUGUUGCGAAACGCGUGAAACGGCGAGAAAGGUGGUUGAUCACUUCCGGUCUUCUGUUCUCGCUGUUUGUUUACUAUAGGCCCAGUAGCGAUAUUUUUAUUUAGCGCUUUCUUGUAGUAUUAAAUGUGGCAUCAUCUGGUUAAAUGGUAACGAGAAAUAGAAGCAAUGUUCGAGCAGAAUGUACUGGUAGUGGUACCCGUCUUUUGUUUGCUGCCUAGGGGAGUGCCAGCUUGUGAAGCAAAUAUAUUUCAUGUUGAUUUAUUGUGAUACUGAUAAAUAAUUAAAAUAAACCAUUCAAGCUAUGUGUAAUGUGUUUGUAUGGUUAUGUUGAUGGUUAAAUAGGUUGAGAAUUGAAGCCAAAUGACCAAUUUUCGCGAAAAAGGGAUCUGCCAGUUGGUGUUAAAGAAUUCAGUCAAUUUUGCUCCAAUAUUGAUAAGGUUGGUUUUGUUACAAUGCUGAGAUGUAUGGCUUUUCAGGAAAUAACACGGUUCUGGAGAAAAAUUAAUAUUUAAAAAUAGCUGCCAGUCGAUAUUUAAGGAUAUGGGUUUACUGUUCCAUGUAAUUAAAUUA